UGGGGAAUUUUGCGCAAUGGGCGAAAGCCUGACGCAGCAACGCCGCGUGGAGGAUGAAGGCCUUCGGGUCGUAAACUCCUGUCAGGGGGGACGAAACGCCCAGCAAUGGGCAUUGACUGUACCCUCUGAGGAAGCCACGGCUAACUCCGUGCCAGCAGCCGCGGUAAUACGGAGGUGGCAAGCGUUGUUCGGAAUUACUGGGCGUAAAGGGCGCGUAGGCGGCAAGGCAAGUCAGGUGUGAAAGCCCCGAGCUUAACUCGGGAAUUGCAUCUGAAACUGCUGUGCUUGAGUUCUGGAGGGGGUAGUGGAAUUCCCAGUGUAGCGGUGAAAUGCGUAGAUAUUGGGAGGAACACCGGCGGCGAAGGCGGCUACCUGGACAGAAACUGACGCUGAGGCGCGAAAGCUAGGGGAGCGAACGG
rnacentral:rRNA from 1 species